GGGGGCAGUGCUUCCGGUGACGUCUGCCCGGUGCGGCGGUAACAAGAUGGCGGCGCCCAGGCGGCCUCGUGAAGAGGAGGCGGCAGCUGAAGAGGCUUCGCUGGAGGCGAAGCGGCCCCGCGGGCAGCGGCGGCUCUUGGUGGUGCUGGAGGGAGCGAGUCUGGAGACCGUGAAGGUGGGGAAGACGUUCGAGCUCCUCAACUGCGACAAGCACAAGGCGCUGCUGCUGCGGAACGGCCGGGACCCCGGGGAGGUGCGGCCCGACAUCACCCACCAGAGUCUCCUGAUGCUUAUGGACAGCCCACUGAAUCGGGCUGGUCUUCUGCAGGUUUAUAUCCAUACCCAGAAGAAUGUCCUAAUAGAAGUCAAUCCCCAAACCAGAAUCCCAAGAACUUUUGAUCGAUUCUGUGGUCUCAUGGUUCAGUUGCUGCAUAAGCUCAGCGUUCGAGCAGCUGAUGGGCCUCAGAAAUUGCUGAAGGUGAUUAAAAAUCCAGUCAGUGAUCAUCUCCCUGUGGGCUGUAUGAAGAUAGGUACCUCUUUUGCAGUUCCAAAGGUGUCAGAUCUGCGUGAACUGGUUCCUACAGCAGAGCCAGUUGCCGUUGUUGUGGGAGCUUUUGCCCACGGUUCGGUUAAUGUUGACUAUACAGAAAAGAUGGUCUCCAUCAGCAACUAUCCCCUCUCUGCUGCCCUGACAUGUGCCAAAAUUACUACUGCCUUUGAGGAAGUCUGGGGAGUAGUAUGAGCUUCGGCUGCUACUGCUGUCAUGGUGGACUUUACAGUGAUUCCACAUUCUGCAAGGGCUCUUUUACUUAGGUGUGGACAUGGUGCAACUCUGGGCUCCUGGAAGAGAAAAGGCUUCAAUUUUGUCCUUGUAGCUUCUGGAGCAAUGACACUUUAAAUGGACUGCUGUGUGGACCCUUUUUCCUCCUAUUAAAGGUCCCUUUUGCUGAUGCUGCUCAGUCCUGAAGAAUCACCUUGCUCGGUGGGGGUGCGACAGUUCACACUCCCGCA